rnacentral:rRNA from 1 species
UACAACGGGAUACCCGAGGGAAACUUCGGUUAAUACGGUAUAAGACCACACUACCGCAUGGUAGAGGGGCAAAAGGGGCAACCUGGUAUGAGAUGGACUCGCGUCGCAUUAGCUAGUUGGUGAGGUAACGGCCCACCAAGGCGACGAUGCGUAGCCGACCUGAGAGGGUGAUCGGCCACAUUGGGACUGAGAUACGGCCCAGACUCCUACGGGAGGCAGCAGUGGGGAAUAUUGGGCAAUGGAGGAAACUCUGACCCAGCAAUGCCGCGUGAAUGAAGAAGGUCUUCGGAUUGUAAAGUUCUUUAGUCAGGGAAGAAGUCAAUGACGGUACCUGAAGAAUAAGCUCCGGCUAACUACGUGCCAGCAGCCGCGGUAAUACGUAGGGAGCAAGCGUUGUUCGGAAUGACUGGGCGUAAAGGGUGCGUAGGCGGUUGUACAAGUUAGAAGUGAAAUACCCAGGGCUUAACUCGGGUGCUGCUUCUAAAACUGUAUGACUUGAGUGCAGUAGAGGUUAGUGGAAUUCCUAGUGUAGCGGUGGAAUGCGUAGAUAUUAGGAGGAACACCAGAGGCGAAGGCGGCUAACUGGACUGCAACUGACGCUGAGGCACGAAAGUGUGGGGAGCAAACAGGAUUAGAUACCCUGGUAGUCCACACUGUAAACGAUGGAUACUAGAUGUAGGAGGUAUCGACUCCUUCUGCGUCGCAGU